rnacentral:misc_RNA from 1 species
UUGAAUUUUAAUGAAGAGUUUGGUUGUAGCUGGCCCAUUCAUUUGGGCAUGUGCUCACCUUCCUCUUUCAUCCCACACACACCUGUGAACCUGUGAGACAGAGAUGGGGAAUUUACUUGCUGCUUUUGGAAUACAAAGGCAAUAGGUUAUUGGACCCCCCCUCUGUCUACUCAAUUAAUAUAAACUCAAUUUAUUUUAAAACGAAUGUAAUGGAUGUAACACAUCUCAUAC